CCAAACUCUCUCUCACUCUCCCCUCUGCAACUGGACAGGGGAGAGAAAAUAUAAUGAAGGGUUCAGGAGUUGAGAUAAGGAGCUGGGAGAGAUCAUUGUGGAUU